AGGGCCACACUUGCGGCAUAUGGAAGUUCUUAGGCUAGGGGCUGAAUCAGAACUUCAGCAGCAGGCCUAUGCCACAGCCAAAGCAACGCUGGAUCUAAGCUGUAUCUGUGACCUACACCACAGCUUUUGGCAAUGCUGGAUCCUUAGCUCGCUGAGCAAGGCCAGGGGUCAAACCUGCAUCCUCAUGGAUUCUAGUUGGGUUCUUAACCUGCUGAGCCACACCGGGAACUCCUUCAUACCCCUUUCUUGAAUGACUAUUGCACUUGGCUUUCUUCCUAUAUUUUAGAGUGGAAGGACCACUCUAAGGAAUGAAGUUCUUUCUUGUUAGGAGCAUGUAGGCUCUAUGAGUUGGCUUUAAAUCCUGACUCAACCAUAUACUAGCUAGUUGCAGAAUCCUGGGCCUCAGUUUUCAUCUGUAGAGUGGGGAGAGUAGCAAUAUCUACCUCAAAAGAUUGUGGUAAAGAUUAAAUAAAUUAACAGUUGCAAAGUGCUUAGAAAAGCAUCUAGCACGCAGUGAGUGCUCUGCAACUGUUACUCAAUGCCAAUACUGGCGAGAAGAGCGUGGUACUUAUGUGCAUGCAACGAGUCGAGCUGCUCUAUUAGGAAUCCUGGCUCUGCCCAUUUCCAGCUGGAUGAGUUUGCAAGUUCUCUCACUUCUCUGCUUUACUGCUCUCUCAGGCAAGUUUUCUCAUCAAAACCAGGGGUGCAAGUGGGACAAAGCUCAUGGGGCCAAUGAGAAGAUUAAAUGAGCUAAUGCAGGAAAAGUGCUAAACAUAACACCUGGAAUAUUAAAAUUGUUCAGUAGGUGGUAGUUUCCACUCCUGCUGCUGGUACAACAACAAUGGCACCCCAGCCAUUCCUAUCACCAUUAUUAAUAUCAUUAUUGAACUAAAAGUAAUGACAAAUUCUGUAAGACAUCUCCCCCUUCUUUAAAGAUCAACCCAAUCCUGUACAAGAGUGUUAUGAAAUAUCUAAUAAAUCUAAGUACACACCAGUACCUGGUAGGCUAGGCAUUUUUGUUUUCCAGUAGUGGUCAUGGAUUUUUAAAGAGCCAUUCAACAUCUCACUAUACCCUUUGGAACCUCUGAAUGAAAUGGAAACACAAGUGCUUUUUGUCCAAAUUCAAUUCAUGAAUCUGAGGACUACGAACAGAGAACUUGAACCAACUGGAUGCUCAGACGGAAACACUUAGCUAAAGAUUCAGAUUUUUUAAUGGAAUUCACAGAUCCCCACCAUAAACUGUGGGUUUUAAGACCAUGCAAAUCUUCUGCCUUGGAAGGACUGACGGGCAGGGCCAAGCAUGAUACAUUUAUACCUUAAUAAGACGAGACAGAGAAAUCCUGUUAAGUUCAGAGGGUUUGGCUCUCGACACACAGGUUGAGUCUAAACAAGGCAAAUGUCUCCAGACAGUAUGGGGGAUUUUUAUGUCCUCGGACUGACGGAUCUUGAAGGAAUGGCAUAGGCGUUCCACUUGGUGAGAACAGGCGGAGAGCAGAGGUGGUUUUCGGCGCCCAGGGCUAAACACUUCCCUUUCCCCUUGUUCCUGUGUGCUUGGAUCACAGUGUCCGAAUCCUGUGGGUCUCUUUCAUACUCUUCUCCUCUCCCACACUUCUGCCUUAGUCUGCUUUCCAGUUAUGAGCCAAAUCUUCUGCAAAGGGUAUACUUAGCAUCUGCAUUUUCAGAUUGUUUACUGUGACUACAGGUCCCCAUUCUCCCAUAGUCCCAACCUUGAACCUGGUCUGUACACUUCUUGAGGGCAAAGAACCUGUUGGCACAAAGUGGGUUCUCAGUAAACAAUUGUCCAUUGACUAGCCCUGCUUCUUAGCCAGCACUUGUAUUUUGGUCAUGUCUUAUCGUCAGCAAGCUUAAUGUCUGGGAUGGCCGCUGGCCUCACAGCAAGCUAAGAAACAAAUCUUCUGGCAACUUUGUGAGCCCUAGUUUGUGACUGUUUGUCAGUGGGCAGACAGGAGCUGGAUGAAACCUACCGAAAGAACUUCAGUGUGGCUUCUUCUCAGGUCUGUCCUAAUGAAACAACCAGCCAGCAACUGAAAUUAUAAUUGCCGUGAGUCACACCAUGAGUCACAAGGGUUGUCACAGCAACCUAUUAACUAUAUAACUAAAGCACCUUCCAUUAGCUUUGCCAAGAAUGGUUCUUGAGUUUUCCUGGACUGUGAAAAUGAUGUGGGUGAGCCCCAAGUUUGGGGUUGCUAAGAGCCUACAACCGAAAGGAAUGGCCUCAGGGAAGGGAAAAGAAAACGAGGAAAGAAGGCGAUUCUAGUUCUUGGACCUCCUGAGUAAAUGACCACAAUUGUGACAAAUUGUUGGCUUGGUUUUGGGACAUCAACAAAUACCUGAGAGGAGGCCGAGGCCUCGAAACUAAUUUUCUCUAAGUCAAAUUCAAAGCCAAGCCUCUAGGGGUAAGAAGUGAAUGCAUUAACCUAGUCCACUUUAAGUGAUUGCAAUAAAUACUUUUUUCUUUCUUUAAAGAUACAAAUAAUUAGUUUUCAAAGAAACAUUCUGAUUCAUACUAAAAUAUUUUUACUUUUGAGAUCUAAAACCUCUUUAUAAAUAUUAGAGUACUUUAAUUUCAUAUUUUAGGUAUUAGCCUGCUGCAAUCACACAUUUGCAAAUGUACUAAAUUCACUUUUAAUGGUUAUUUGGGUUAAAAUUGAAAAGUUCACAAGGUUCAGAAGUGUAUUUUGUUAUUUAUUAGGGAAAACAGACAUUCUGUUGGAUUAAACUGACACAUUUUCCUGACUGCUUACUGAGUAAGUGGUAAUUUUUGCAGGUUUGGAAGUUUCUGUUUGGGAACACCCAAAUGUGGAAGCAAGCAAGCAGAAGAGACUUAAACAAGAGGAAUAAAGAAUAUAAUUUAGGAAUAUAAAUUAGGAGGUUGGGAUUAACAUAUACACAACAAAGACCUACUGUAUACGCUAGGGAAAAAUACUCAGUAUUUUGUAAUAAUCUACAAAGGGAAAGAAUCGGAAAGAGAUGAUAUAUUAUCUGAAUCACUGUGCUGUGUACCUGAAACUAACAUGACACUGUCAAUCAGUGAUAUUGAACAAGAAGAAUAAAAGAUAUAAAUAAAGAUGAGAAAAGGAGGAAGUAACAAUGGUCUGUUGACUCUGGAAUCAACCCAGGUGCAGACCAGGUGUCUUUUGGGUCUGUGUUACGGUAGCUGGCUGAUAUGUUCCCUAAGAUGAUGCUUCUAUGACGCUAAACUCUCCAGUAGCUGGAAAUAGCUACGAUUACUAUCUGCUGCAUUUUUCACUUUUUCAUCUCCCCAUUUGUCUUCUUGUAACAUUUUAGUGAAUGCAGAACUGCCCAUGAAGAAUUAGAUUAAGAAGUCAGGAGCAAAGGAACAGUUGUACUUGGCAAAGAGCCAUUGAGUCCAAGAAAAAGACAUCCGCGAGGUACUACUACAGCAGGAGAGCAGAACAAACUUGUGAAUCAUCAAACCAAAAGCCAGCUUGAAAGUGUCCAACCAGAAACAGGUGCUAUGUCAUCAGCCAUGAAAAUUAAACUGAAAUUCUACACCUCCGUGUAAAAUUUCUCGAGUAUGACCCUGUCCCACAAAUAAAAACUCCCUUUUGUGUUCACACACCCAAACCCAGCAGCAACACUGCCUGUCACCAAUUGAAGAACAUCACGAACAUAAAGGUGCCUUGACCCACGGUCAUGAGGACUUUGUACUUGAAGCCCCCCGUCUGUGCCUUCCCCCACCUGCCAAUUUCUUGCACCUCUGACUGGUGUCCCAGUGUGCUGACGUUCUGGUCCAAUAAUAUAUUCCACAGCUGUACAUGUUAAUUUGUAAGUGGAACAAUCUCUCUGUGAGGACAGGUAGGAAACCCAGAUUGAAAUGGCUAAUGUAAGGUGACUUCAGCUGUUGAUGAUCACGUAGUCAAGCCUUGACCAGGGUUUCCGGAACCCUGACUAAAAGUGGAAGUCUCAAGACAGCCCAGAAAUGAAUCCACACACUUCCCUGAUAGAGAAGCUUUUUGAAGAGCAGAUGUCAAGAUGAUUUAUGAGGAGCUGGAAUUUAACAUCUUAAGAAAACUUAUUGGCAAGUUAGGACAGUUUUGUUUUCAAGAAAAAUUUGAGAGAUGCUUAAAGAAGAAGUCAUUUGGGUGACGGUUAUUUGAGAAAGAACUGAUUGAUUUUCUUCCUCCUCACAAGUUCUGGGGGCUGUAGAGGAGCUAAGAUCAGAAAUAUGAUGGACUGUCUGCUGAGCUGGGUGACGAAAACAAUCUUCGUGUUUCAGUGGCACAGAAGCCUUUCACGGACAUGCAGCUCGGACAAUUUAAGUUCUCCUUGGCAUGUGCAAAGUUGUGUGUCACCUGUCUAUUCAGGAGUUAUUCCCCUCAAUUUGUCAUUGGGCCCCCAAAUCAUGAAAGUCAACAUCAACCAAAAAACUGAGAUGGUUUCUGAUCUAAAUCUUUCUAUCGAUUUAAUAUUUGAACUUCAUAAAGGAAGCUUUAAAUCUUUCUACAUUUACAUUAUGCUUAAUCCCUAAGAAUUUUCUGGCUGAUGUGCAUAGUUAGAAAGGCACUCAAAUGCCACCUACUCUGGCUAUAUCUUGUUUUGGUUUUAAAGCAGGUAUAGCUGAAGGGGUUCAUUGAAGACCAAUCUGGUUAUAUUGCCUAUUACUGGACCACUUUUUUUCUCACCAGCUACCACUUUCAUGCUGUCACCCAAAUCAUUCCAUGAAUUUAAAUCCAACCACAGGUUUCUAUUUCUGCAACAGGCCAAGGAAAUUAUCCUUAGGGAUGACAAUUCCUUAAAAGUCCUUAUGGAGGGAGGGUCUUUAUGUUAAGUAACACCUAUGGUCUCUGUCCUAUCCAUUGAGGGGUAUUCUUCGUAGCCGACAGAGUUGAACUAGUGGUUUUGGUCCACUUCUCCAGGAGCCAAGUCACAAUGCAAACAGUCAGCGGCUUUCUGUAUAUUGCCAGGGGGCCAGGAGUCCAGACCCCACACCGCCAUAACCAGUAGGCACAUUCAUCCGCCCCUGUUCAGGAGAGGCCCAGGGCUGAGCUAGCAGAAAGACUGAAUUACUUACCACCUCUAGAGUGGGUCCCUCCGGGCCAGGGACGAGCUCAUGGGCAAGGCUGUGCAAGGAAGCGCUCUGUACCAUGCCUGCCCUGCGGAUAUACAGAGGACUUCAGUCUCCUGCACUGUCAAUCUCUCAGUCAUCAUGAGCUCAAUUAUGCACCGACAACAGCAAGAACAACAACAACGACGAUGACAAAACAACCCCCAAAAAGCUAAGGGCCACAGACUACCCUGGUGGAGGGACAGCCAACUGGAACUGUGCAUUGAGAGAUGAGGUGCUGUCCUGAUCACGGGUCCAUUACGGGCCUGAGCUUUUCCUGUUUCCUCAAACAAACAUUCCAGGGAAUCCCAUGGGAGAGCCACGUGGAGAGAAUGCAGGACAGGGUCCUAAAUGGUAGGCAACCAUCAAAUUUGGGGGGCCUGGGGUUAUUUUUCUGGCUUUUUUGUUUGUUUGUUUGUUUUGGUUUUGGUUUUGUUUCUACAAAUACAGAUAGACAGACAGACAAACCCAAGAGCAGAUUUCAAGAAUCAACUGAGGCACGAGAUAAACUACUUUGAUGGGACGCAGAUUUUUUUUCCUCCAAGUGGUUCAUGUGAAAUCAAAAAUUUUCAAAGCAUAAUUAGGGAAAAUGCGGGGACAUGUCUUUGUUGGCCCUAAAGGGUGCCAUAAAUAUCUCCAUCGCUUGCCUUAGGAGGAUGCCCAAACACAAUCUUGUAGGUAGCACAUAUCUGUCUAAAACAGUAAUCAAAUUCAAAUGACACUCUUAAUUCAAAGUCUACAUAAUACGCUGGUCAAGUACAGUGAAGGCUGACUGCCUGCAACCAAUGACGUAUUGGUUUCAUCCUGAGGUUCAAGGCACAGUCAAACAUCAUGGCUCAGAUUGCAAGUCACAACACUUGACAUUGACGUGAGUUGGUAAACUUAUGGUGUAGUUCGAAUGAAGGCAAUUGAUGAAAGCAGUUGAACCUGAGAGGUGGGAAUGAAUAGAGAGGAUAAAUCCAGCGCACAUUUCCAUGUCAAACUACCCAUGCCAUUCUCCGGGGCCCUCCAAGGCCACACUCAUGGUCGAGCGGCAGCGCCUACAUUCCUGGUCAAUAUCUCUGCUCCACAGACACAAGUACAAAACGGCCUAAACCGUGAACUAGUGGUGAGGAAAAGGAGACCAACAUUUCAGAGAAAUCAAGGGGGUGUUUCCUAGGAACAUACCAACUCUUCUAGGAAGGAUCCAGAGCAAGGGUGACCGUAAGUAAUUAAUUGAUCCUCCUGGCUAGAUUUUAUGCUGUUUCUAAAGAUGAAUGGCUUGGAUCACUCGAAUUCAUCAGACUAUGUCUAGACUCUCUUUAACACACACUCAGUACAAACAGGUGGAGAUGUACCACUUCCAAGCACUACAGGAAGAGAAGGAUGACCUCUGUCGACCAUGGAUCACAGCUGAAACAUUAGUUUAUACUUGAAGGGUCACAGCAGCCAGACAUAUGCGAAUUCCAACUCUUCAGAAAACUUGGGACAAAAAAAAAAAAUGCAUUACUUACAUGUAUGUGUCUUCUUUGUUACUGAGAUACCU
rnacentral:lncRNA from 1 species